GAGGUCUGGGAGUUUUUAAGUUUCAUUCUUUUAUUACAUUUUUUUCUUAGAUCUGUUUAAAUGUCACCAUGGCAGCCUGUGUGUCUCCAACAUCAGCUACACAACGCAGCGUCCAUUUGGAUCAUUGGAGACAGCUACGUGAGGCGUGGUGCCCAGAGAGCUGCAGAGACAACCUUGGACUCCCUGACGUCUGUGUCUCUUGGUUUGGUUGGGGUGGACCAUCGACAUACAUACAUGUGCCGACACUUUGCGCCCUGUUUUAUAAACUGUAGUGUUAAAAAUAAAUGUUUUUGCUCAAUUACUGGAAUUUCUUUGGUUAAGACAAAAGUGAGGAAUAAUCAUUUACAAGUUAUUUGUACAACAGGCCCAUUUUAAAUCCCAACAGUUUCUUAGCAGACAAUAGAAAUGUGUUCUUUACUAACUUUACUUGGUUUGAAAAUCUUACUAAAAUAAACUUGAGUGCCGUAUUGCAAAACCCAAUCAUACUUAUGUAAACAUUAGCUUUGUAGAUAUUUUUUACAGAUAUAUAUUUGUGUGCAACAAAAACCAAACUUAAAUAAUUCGUCAUUCUUUAUUGAAAAACAACAAAAUACAGGUAUACAGAAGUGUGGGAAAAUGAUAAUGUGAAAGUAUUGCACUAUAAAUGAAGUGAGAUGAGAUGAAGGUGAGAUGAAGGUGGACGCCAGCGGGCUGGACGCCGGACGAGGAAACCUGGAGACGGAUCGCUCAGACAGGAAGGGAAGAGCUUCCUCUUACCUUGAUGGAAUUAAAGUUAGCUGUCGUCUGAACGCCCAACCGUACGGUCUGAGGUCAAAGGUCGCAGGAAACACACACCAGUCAGCAGUCAUACAGAUGCAUAAAGAUAACUGUAGCCAUGGCAACCAGCUGACAUGUCCCCACUUUCACCAGCACCUGGUGCCUGCCGGGUCACCUGAAUUCCUGUGUGAUGUCAGCACGGUCGGCCGUGACUGCGGCCAUCAGAGGUGACCUCUGAUCAGCUGAAUGAACUCACCUUCCAGGGUGACGCCGUGUUAGAGUCGGCUUCAUCCUGUAAACAAACAAACAAACGAGUGGUAACAAAAACACCACGUCUGGUUCUGGUGGAGGACAACACGCACCUUUCCAGGAGCAGAACCCAGAUGUUCUUGUUGCUACAAACAGAGACGAGCAGAGUUAAACCAGGAAGUGAGAGGGACCAGCUGCUGCAGACAGGUGACGCUCACCUGAGCCUGAACCAUAGGAGCCUCCUCAGCCAUCAGACCUUCUGACUCCAGUUCAGAUGCCACCUUGUUGAUGUCCCUCAGGCGGGACUCGUUGGCCUUCAGGUCCUGCAGGACAAAAGCACCUGCUGAUUACCUUGUUGCAUUCGGGUUAACAGGUCUGGUGUUAGAACGUGGUGGAUAAGAAUGUUCUGACGGGCCGAGGGUUCUGAACUCACCCUGCAGGACUGGGCCUGCUCCUUCAGGGCCUGGAUGCUGCUGCCGUAAGCUGACAGGUCCGACAUCAGGGCCUCGUGCUUCUUCAGGAGAGCCUGUGGAGCAGAACAUCAGAACCUUCAGCUCGUCUGACACAAGUGGAGCUUUCUCGCAGCGAUGGUCCAAUCGGAUCCGCCACCGUAAAACAAACCCUGCUCAGUUCACCGCAGACGCAGCUCUGCGGGUGUUUAGUGGAAAAGCGUGAGCCUUCUGCCGGCUGCCACGUGUCAUGGCUGCUCUGCAGCGGGAACACACAUCACAGCUUGUAAACCGUUUGAAAUAAGAGCGACGGGAACACGUUUGUCAUCACUUCCUGUGCGAGGCCAGCACUUCUACCCCUAACCCAUGAGACGCUCAAACGAGCAACGACGUCUGGUAGACAACCGAAGGAAAUGACAGAAACACUAAUUAUGAAGGACUGGAAAGAGAGCAAAGAAAAGCGAUUGGAGUUUCUCAGGAAGGGACUUCCAUACCUCGGCAAGUCCUCGUCUUUCCCUUAGUCUGGACUUCCAACGAUGGGCUCCUUCUCCCUCAUCCAGGACUCGGCCUCAUUAGCAUCCGCAAAGUACUGCUGGGCCUGCAGAGAGUCCUCCAGGUCCUGCCUCCUCUGGGACGCCUUGGCCUUCAGCGUGUCCCAACGUCCAUGAAGCUCCCACAGUUUAGUCUUCACUUCCUCACUAGCGAAGUGACCUGGACCCAAAGUGAGCCAGAACCUGCAGACACCUCAGAAACAUGUCAGGACCAGACCUGCUCUACCUUCCUCCAUUAUGGUCUCUCCUUUCUGGGUGACAGCCUUGAUGCGAGGUUCAUGACCUGUGAUCUCAGCCUGCAGAGCCUGGUGCUUCUUCAGCAGGUUCUGGACACCAAUCAGGUCCUUCCC